rnacentral:rRNA from 1 species
GCUYCCGGCGCCUUAGGAUGGAUCUGCGGCCGAUUAGGUCGUUGUUGGGGUAACGGCCCAACAAGCCGAUAAUCGGUACGGGUUGUGGGAGCAAGAGCCCGGAGUUGGAUUCUGAGACACGAAUCCAGGCCCUACGGGGCGCAGCAGGCGCGAAAACUUUACAAUGCGGGCAACCGUGAUAAGGGAACCUCGAGUGCCUGUACAUGCAGGCUGUCUGGGUGUCUAAAACACACCCAAAGAAAGGGCCGGGCAAGACCGGUGCCAGCCGCCGCGGUAAUACCGGCGGCUCGAGUGGUGGCCACUUUUAUUGGGCUUAAAGCGUUCGUAGCUGGGUUGUUAAGUCUCUUGGGAAAUCUGGCAGCUUAACUGUCAGGCGUCUAAGAGAUACUGGCAAUCUAGGAACCGGGAGAGGUGAGGGGUACUUCGGGGGUAGGAGUGAAAUCCUGUAAUCCUCGAGGGACCACCUGUGGCGAAGGCGCCUCACCAGAACGGCUUCGACAGUGAGGGACGAAAGCUGGGGGAGCAAACCGGAUUAGAUACCCGGGUAGUCCCAGCCGUAAACGAUGCGCGUUAGGUAUGUCGAUGACCACGAGUCAUCGAGGUGCCGAAGGGAAACCGUGAAACGCGCCGCCUGGGAAGUACGGUCGCAAGGCUGAAACUUAAAGGAAUUGGCGGGGGAG